CUCAAGAGGGAGGGGCUAUGGGGACAUGUUCAUGCACAUGGCUGAUUGGCUUUGUUGUGUAACAGAAACUAACAGAAUUGUGAAGCAAUUAUACUCCAAUAAAGAUCUAUUAAAGUAAAUAAAAUAACAUAAAAUAUAGUAGAUUUGAAGGAUCAAUAUAACCAUUUUAACUUAUGAUGUUUGUUUUCAGUAAAUUCAAAUUAAAUAUUUAAAUGUGAAUUUUAAUAUAUGGCUUGUUCUAAAUAAACUAUUAACACGUAGGUCUAGUUUUUGCAACCAAAUAUUUCAUAUAAAGAUACUUGCCUCUUUACUACUGAAAUAUAGGAUAAGUCUCCACAUUUCACUCUUUUAUCCAGUGGGUUUCAUUUUUUGUGUGUGUGUUUUCUAUAUGAAAUCAAAGGAGCAGUGACGGUUGACAGGCUUAUAGGAGAGUAACAUUGAUUCACCUACCACCCAGCAACUUGCAGCCUUAUAACUUUUAUUGUUUUUACAUAGAAAAAUUCAUCUUAAAUUGAAAUUUUGGUCUAAUUCUGAAGAUUCUGUUUGGCAGAAGUCAUGGGUGUAUCUGUGUUUCUCUGUCCUUGAGAUUCAGAAAUGCCAAAGGUGUUCUAAGAUUCAGUAAACUUGAGUGUUUCUGCAUGAUACAUAAAAUGUAUCAUACUUUGGGAUUAUUUUAAAAAUUUAUUUUUGCAUUUCUGCACAUCUCAAUACUUCUGUUUUAGUUAAAAUAACUUGUUACUGUAGAGAACUUAUAUUUUUUAAAAAUGCCGGCUUACGUAAAACCUUUGUAAAAAACGAUCCUCUUUUUAAUGGGCUUGGCAUCAUUGUCAAGUGCCUGUUUUAUUCCUUUCAAAGUGUAACCAUGUGACAGUUGCUCUGUAGACUAUUGGUACAUCUUGAUUCCUUCUUUUCAUGCUUUGUCAAACAUAGGCUUGGCCGCAAAGAAACCUGUAAGUAAUGGAAGGAAACACUCUGCUGGUAAAGAAUGUUAUGCUCCUGAACCUCUACCACCUGGUGUGUCUGGUUUCCUGCCGUGGCGUACUGCAGACGUGCAAAAAGGAACAGGGGCUUUCCAUUCAUCAAAGCUCGUGAUGUAUAUAAUAAGUUGCAGCCUGGCUGCAGAAAGACCUGAAUUUGAUGAACUACACACUGUUGGAGUAGUAGAUUGCUAGAAGGAACCAAGAUCCAGACAACCUUAAAUGGCGGCUUCAUGGAAUUAUUAUUCAAGAAGGAUGGUCCAGCCAAUUUCCUCACUUCCCUUGUGAAAGGAGUUCCCUAUUCCUAAGAAAAUGGACCUAUGUCUGACUGACACAGAAGAUGGAGAUUUAUCCCAGUGCAUUUAUAUAUGUAUAUAUAUAAAAUUUAUGUAUAUAUAUAUAUAUAUAUAUAUAUAUUUAUAUAUAUAUAAUGCCUAAUGGAAAUAUCUCAGAUGGUCUAUUUUGUGUUUUUUUCUUUAAUUUUACUUAUAAAAUUGUGACCAUUUUUUAACUCAAAAGAGGAGAACCUUAAAAAUUAAUUAAAAAGACAUUCUAAGUAGUAGAAUGUAGUCUAAGGUUCAGAGUGACUUGGCAGAGAAAAUUGCUGAAUGGUUAGAUAACAGUGCUGGUAUGCUUGGCUAUUGUAACACUUUACAUUAGAGUUUCUCUUCCUUGAAAUUACAAGAACUAUAUGACUCAAGAGAAAGAUUAAUAAUUAGGAAUAUUCUGCUUGCUUUUUAUAUAGCCUAUUGAAGAACAUUUUGAUUAAUUAUUUGGAGGUCAUAGGAAGGAACCUUCAUGAUCUAACUUUUGAACAAGUAGUGUUGCAACACAAAGCUAUGACUCAAAUUAAAAAGGACAUUUGAAAUGACCUAUUUCUUUUGGCAUCUCAAUCCAGAUAUCUGUCAGUAAAAUGAGUCACUUUUCAGUCAAAUGGGUGGUCAGCAAUAUAAUUUUUUAUUGGGAAGCUGAAAGACACCAUUGCCAAACAGAGCAUCUGCAGUGUUAACAUCUAUAUUUGAGCAUCUUUCGUUUUCCCAAGGGGUGCAGAUGAGAAGAAGGAAGGCAGAGAAAUGCACUUGAAUAAAGCUUUUCAAGAUGGAUAGAACAGAGAGCAUUCCCAGAGGCAGGUCAAGUUCAACCCAAGAACAACUCUCUCAGUGCUUUCACAACUAGUUAAAAUACAAGACCAGUAGUAACUCAGCUCUCAAAUCAGUGCUGAAAUCAAGCAGAAGGUUGUUAAUAUUGAUACGGUUAACAUACAUCAAAUAGGAUUACUGAAUUUUCUGAAUCCAAAAGUUCUCCACAGUGUUGACAUUUCCUUACUGAACUCCCAGGAUUGUUUGGUUUCAAAGGCGCUUGGGCUCAAGAUGCAUUUUGUUUUAAAUAAUCCUUCAUAAAAAGUUCAGCUUUCAGUCUAAUAUGAUUGAAACCCAGCUUGAGUAUGUUUUAUAAUGCACUGAACUGGAAAGACUAUGGGCAUUGAAAUAUUCAAAACAUGGUAGGCAAAGGAGUGAUAUGUGGGGAGGAGGUGAUCAAAGAAAUCAGUGAGAAUGUCUUGUUAUCUCAUUUUAUUUACCUUUUAGAACUCUUCCAAAUAUUAGAGGAAAGAAAUCAAUAUCAAUUUUCACCUGUCACGUUCCACACUUCAAUUAUUAAUGAAUGUCGAAUUUGACCACAGUUUUCUGUACCACCUGCUCUGCAAUAAUAUUUCUGAGCCUUUAUUAAAAAUGUAAAAUUGUCAUUGAAUUUCCAAAUAUGAUUCUCCAGUGGCUAAUUCAGCUUGUUUUAUUAAUAAGCAAGUUCUGAUGAGUAAUACUAAUUUAAUACGCCUGCAUGUAAGGUUAAAGUGUAAAUUAUUCCUGCCGAAGGUGAUGAGAUAUGACUGCGAUGUGGUGGUAGGGCACUCACCUUCCUGAACGAACCCUGCGAGCACACAGUUCUUGGGAGAAACCAGUACUUCAUAUAGUAGCAAAUCUGAUAUUAUUUUGCAUGUCUCCUGUAGCAGUGGAAUGCACACACACACACACACACACACAAACAUGAUCAUGGGUGAAAAAACACACAUGCGUACCUUAGAUGCUUACAUUAAUUUCUGAAUAUAGUUCUCCGGAAAGAAAAAACUUUACUGAUGAUUUGUAUUUUUAUAGUUUAUUAUUUUAUCCAUACUAAAACACUAAACGAAAUCACUUACUGUUUUGUUGUCCAUGGAAUCCUUUCAAUUUUGAGAUGCUAAAUAUAAAUCGAAAUAAUGAUUAUAGUCCUUGGCCAUGAAAGACUAAGUUACAGAGAACCCAGUGACUGGAGGUCAGAGCUGCCACAGAAUUAUUCUCUGCUCCAGAGCCCAUUAGAGUAUCACUGUGUACCCACUUAAGGAUAGAAUGCUGCUAUUGAGAAACUAGCUCUCUUUUAUUUCUACUAAAAGGAGAGAACAGUAGGGGACCUUGGCUGUGUGAGUGUAUGAGACUUUCUCUGCUUUGUACGAUAAGCCAAAACCUAUACAUGAAAUAGCCUUGGGCCUUUUGUCUUUUGUACCCAGCUCUUUCCUGUAUUGCUCCUGAUCAAUUACACUUAAAUCAACAAAAGUUGCUUGAACAUUUUGACAAUUAUGUUCCCCAUACCCUGAAGCAUUUUUAAAGGGUUCCUGAGAUAAAGCUAUUUCAAAAAAUACUCCCUCCAAAUUUUUUCAGGGUGGCAUCAAUGAAA